CGGCGGACGGGUGAGUAAUGCCUAGGAAUCUGCCUGGUAGUGGGGGACAACGUUUCGAAAGGAACGCUAAUACCGCAUACGUCCUACGGGAGAAAGCAGGGGACCUUCGGGCCUUGCGCUAUCAGAUGAGCCUAGGUCGGAUUAGCUAGUUGGUGAGGUAAUGGCUCACCAAGGCGACGAUCCGUAACUGGUCUGAGAGGAUGAUCAGUCACACUGGAACUGAGACACGGUCCAGACUCCUACGGGAGGCAGCAGGU
rnacentral:rRNA from 1 species